UCCAGGCUCCUACGGGAGGCAGCAGUGGGGAAUAUUGCACAAUGGGGGAAACCCUGAUGCAGCAACGCCGCGUGAGUGAGGAAGUAUUUCGGUAUGUAAAGCUCUAUCAGCAGGGAAUAGAAAAGAAGGUACCUGAAAAAGAAGCCCCGGCUAACUACGUGCCAGCAGCCGCGGUAAUACGUAGGGGGCAAGCGUUAUCCGGAUUUACUGGGUGUAAAGGGAGCGUAGACGGCAGCGCAAGUCUGGAGUGAAAUGCCGGGGCUCAACCCCGGAACUGCUUUGGAAACUGUGCAGCUAGAGUGCGGGAGAGGUAAGCGGAAUUCCUAGUGUAGCGGUGAAAUGCGUAGAUAUUAGGAGGAACACCAGUGGCGAAGGCGGCUUGCUGGACCGUAACUGACGUUGAGGCUCGAAAGCGUGGGGAGCAAACAGGAUUAGAUACCCCAGUAGA
rnacentral:rRNA from 1 species